rnacentral:rRNA from 1 species
AUUGAACGCUGGCGGCAUGCCUUACACAUGCAAGUCGAACGGUAACGGGCCUUCGGGUGCCGACGAGUGGCGAACGGGUGAGUAAUGCAUCGGAACGUACCUUUCAGUGGGGGAUAACGUAGCGAAAGUUACGCUAAUACCGCAUAUUCUGUGAGCAGGAAAGCAGGGGAUCGCAAGACCUUGCGCUGAUUGAGCGGCCGAUGUCAGAUUAGCGAGUUGGUGAGGUAAAGGCUCACCAAGGCGACGAUCUGUAGCGGGUCUGAGAGGAUGAUCCGACACACUGGAACUGAGACACGGUCCAGACUCCUACGGGAGGCAGCAGUGGGGAAGUUUGGACAAUGGGGGCAACCCUGAUCCAGCCAUGCCGCGUGAGUGAAGAAGGCCUUCGGGUUGUAAAGCUCUUUCGGUCGGGAAGAAAUCGCAUGGGUUAAUACCCUGUGCGGAUGACGGUACCGGCAUAAGAAGCACCGGCUAACUACGUGCCAGCCGCCGCGGUAACAC